ACCAAAGUUGCAAUAAAGUUGAAACUACCAAUUAUUGUUUAUAUUAAUACUCCCUACAAAUUAAGAAAGAGGAAACACUUUUAAUUCUUCAUUGAUGUGGUCUAGCUAGGGUUCAACUAAUUUCCAACUGUUGGUUUACAUGAUAUAAUCUCAAGUCAUCAUCUCCAGCUUAUUGAUCAAGGUUCUCAUGUAUAAUAUAUAUAUAUCUACUUAGCCAUGUGUCUUUAUUCUUGUUCAUUUGAAUAGCCCUAGCUUGCUAAUUCAUAUCAUAUCUGCCCCAGCUGCUAGUAAUAUUAGUGGAGAAACCCUGGCAAACAAUUAACUUAUGGACGGAAGUAGUAGGAGUGAGUGCUACAAAGCUUCCCCAUCGAAUGAGGAAUACGAAGAGGAUGAAGAAGAUGUGAGUGCGGAGAACAACAGUAAGGCAACAGAUGGAGGCGCUGGAGGUUCAUCAAGCAACAGUACAAUUGAAGAAAAUGAAAACAAAUCAUCAGUCCGUCCUUAUGUCCGAUCCAAGACGCCUAGACUCCGGUGGACACAUGACCUGCAUCUUCGCUUUGUUCAAGCUGUUGAGAGACUUGGUGGCCAAGAGAGAGCAACACCGAAGUUGGUUCUUCAACUAAUGAAUGUCAAGGGGCUUAACAUAGCACAUGUCAAAAGUCAUUUGCAGAUGUACAGAAGCAAGAAGAUCGAUGACCCUAAUCAAGCUAUAGCAGAUAACAGAAGUGUUGAAAAUUAUGGAGAUCGGAACAUCUACAACCUAAGCCAACUCCCAAUGCUUCAAAGCUAUAACCAGAGCUAUAAUCUGAGUACCUUCAGGUAUGGAGAUGCCCUUUGGAAUGCUGGACAUCAUGAGAAAUGGAUGCAAAAUGUUUAUAAUAUGUCUGGUCGGAAUGGUGCAGUUGAUUAUAAGGCAAGACCAAGAUUUUAUCCUUCAGUAACCGAGAAGAUAUCAGGAAGAAAUUCCAUCAACUGGGAGAAUAAUAUCAAUGCUUCAUCAUCUAGUCAAUUAUCUACAUGGAAAGUUCAUGAAAACAAGGGUGAAUUACUUGGACCAUUGAAUGAUCAAUCUCCAGUGAAAUUUAUGGAAUUUAAAUCAUCGAACAGACAACAAGAGAAAGUUGAGCCUCUGGAUUUGGAAAUCGCCAGCCUUACACCGGCUAAAAGAAAGGCUUCGGCCUGUGAGCUUGAUCUAAAUCUAACUCUUGCGGUCAAAUCAACAAAUGACAACAGUGGAAGAAAUUUGAAGGACGACGAAGACGAGUACUUAUCAUUGUCACUGUUCUCCCCCUCUUCUUCGAAGAAGCUGGAGAGGUUAAAAAUGGUUGAUAAAGAAGAGAUUAAUGCGGAAAGGGCAAGUACUCUUGAUCUCACUAUAUGAAUAUUGCGGUAAUAUUCUAAGUGAGAUCUUGAAGUACUACUUCCAGGAAGUGCAUCUGCAAUUUGUCUUGCACCAUUCAAGAGCCUUGUACACAAGAAACUCAAUCAAGGCACGCGAGGACUCGGCAAGAGGAACAAGACAAUUGCAGAUCACACUUUAGGUUUAAUAAUCUCCGCUCGAGAGUGAAUAUAUAUAUAUGGUACUUUGCCUAGCUUGUCUACAGUUGCAGCAAUUAAUCAACUUGGUUAAUGUCUGUUUAAUUUGUUUCUGUGAAGUUCAGUAAUUAAUCGACAAUGCUUACCUAAAUAAUAUACAAGUACACCAGUAAUUCUUAAUGUAGGAAAAUGUUGGAUGUAGAGCUCAAAUAGUAAUGAUAUUUAAUUUUUGAUCUCACAAU